UACCAGCACCCCGAGUGGUCGGGACGUUAUUGGGCCUAAAGCAUCCGUAGCCGGUUCUGCAAGUCUUCCGUUAAAUCCACCUGCUUAACAGAUGGGCCGCGGAAGAUACUAUAGAGCUAGGAGGCGGGAGAGGCAAGCGGUACUCGAUGGGUAGGGGUAAAAUCCGUUGAUCCAUUGAAGACCACCAGUGGCGAAGGCGGCUUGCCAGAACGCGCUCGACGGUGAGGGAUGAAAGCUGGGGGAGCAAACCGG
rnacentral:rRNA from 1 species